AGGUGAAGAGGUGAAAAAAGGUCAAAUUGCUCUUGUUAAUUGUGAGACGGAGGACAAUAAACCCAGAGCAAAGCAAUUCAGAUUAAAUUUCUUAUUGUUUCUAGAAGAAGUUUAGUUAUUUCCAUCUGUGAGAUUGACUUGUUGCAGCUAUAUGACAGGCUGACUAAAGCCUAGAGGUUGUGUUCAAAGGUUAAUCCAUAGGUUUACAAUAACUUCUAUGACAUAUUUGCUUUGGUUGAUGUUAGUUCUGACAACAAGGACUUGAGACACGUGGACAUCAAUAGUAAGAGGAGCUUGUUUGAGAACAGGGGGGAGGAAAACGUCUCAAAAGGCACCCCUGGAAAAAUCUACAAGUGAAGGCCGGUCAUUUAUUAUGCUCAACAGGAUUUCUAAUACAGCAUGACGAGAGACGGCGAUUGAGGGAUGAUUAACGGAUGCCAUGACUGACUGAUUUUCUUCUUUUUCUUUUCUUUUUUUCUUCACUGCUAAUGUGAGCAACCAGCAGGAGUCACCGAGGGGAAAAAAAGUGUUGCGUUGUAGCUUUAGAGGACUGAAAUGGAAGACACAGCUUUUAAAGUUAGGAGGCUUCUAUCAUUUACUUCUGCAUUGCUUCUCGAAGUAUAAAUAUGUCUUAUUUCAAAUGCUGAAUGUUAAAAGUCAGAGUGAGGAAAGGAGUUAAAAGGAAUGUCGACAUGAGAGGAAGAGAAAGUGGGAGAAAAAGGAAGGGCGGUGGUAUUUGUUCUUUCAAAAAAAGAAAAACCUUUUCAUGUGUUUGCAUCUGUGUAAUUUUCCAAGCACUUUAAAAGGGUGAAGGUCUUGAUGAUGUCUGUGUGCAUUGAACUUGAGCACUGCUCGAGUUGUAAUUGUAUGUUUUAUCUAAUCUGCCAAACAUAAUUUUGUGUUUCAUCUGGACUCGUGGACAAGAUUCUGCCUGUCUGAGGAAUAAAAUGUUUUCCUA
ensembl:lncRNA